rnacentral:rRNA from 1 species
GAUGAACGCUGGCGGCGUGCCUAAUACAUGCAAGUCGAGCGAACAGACGAGGAGCUUGCUCCUCUGACGUUAGCGGCGGACGGGUGAGUAACACGUGGAUAACCUACCUAUAAGACUGGGAUAACUUCGGGAAACCGGAGCUAAUACCGGAUAAUAUAUUGAACCGCAUGGUUCAAUAGUGAAAGACGGUUUUGCUGUCACUUAUAGAUGGAUCCGCGCCGCAUUAGCUAGUUGGUAAGGUAACGGCUUACCAAGGCAACGAUGCGUAGCCGACCUGAGAGGGUGAUCGGCCACACUGGUACUGAGACACGGUCCAGACUCCUACGGGAGGCAGCAGUAGGGAAUCUUCCGCAAUGGGCGAAAGCCUGACGGAGCAACGCCGCGUGAGUGAUGAAGGUCUUCGGAUCGUAAAACUCUGUUAUUAGGGUAGAACAAAUGUGUAAGUAACUAUGCACGUCUUGACGGUACCUAAUCAGAAAGCCACGGCUAACUACGUG